rnacentral:misc_RNA from 1 species
AAGUCGUAACAAGGUUUCCGUAGGUGAACCUGCGGAAGGAUCAUUAACACGUUCCAAACGUAUCAACCAAACCGCGAACUCUGACGUUAGUAACCUCUCUUCAGUUUUCGGACUGAGGAGACGGUUGCGCCUGAGCAUUGUUAGGGGAAAGUGCUGUUUAGGAGCCUUGUGCUCCUCUACAGAGGCUUCCUUUAGCACUGUUCAUAUUAACCCAAACCUUAUUUGUUGUUCAUUUCUUCUGUUCUAAAGGACGUGGCGUUCAAUCGCUAUUGUCUCUUUAUUACAAACUUGUACAACUCUUAGCAACGGAUGUCUUGGUUUCC